CUGCAGAAAGGAAGGGAAAAGGAUGAGGUGUUUUCACAGCCCCCACUGUGGAGAGUUGGCUAAGCAUUACGAAGUUUCACCUUCAGAAUCCGGCACUGUUUGAAAGAGUCUUUCACUUCCUCAUCCAGUUGAAGGAUGCCUUUUGGGUUACUGACUCACUGGAUGCUGGGAUGCAAGUGCAUGCUGGAACACAGAACAUGUUUUCCUGUAUUUAAGCCUUUUACUGUAUAUUCUGAAUUUCUGACUGACAACACGUGGAACAGGCUAUGUAGAAUCUACAACAGGUUGGAGACCCUUCAGGAGACAGACUCAUGACAACGUGCCACUGGAGUGGUGCACCAUAGCGUAUCACAGUUACAGACAUUAUGGAUUAAAGUGACAGCAAUCUGUCUGCACUGCCACAGCUGUCUACCAUGCUCCUGCUGCAACUAAGACUGGGACUCGAAAGGACAGAUAUCACUUACUUAGAGGUGGCUCAAGCCUAUUUGGAUGAUUUGAAUCUUUGCCAUCAUUUGGAGCAGAGUGAAGCUCUGUAAAAGGAUAGUAACUGAAAGCCAACUGGAUUGUAAUUAGCUCAGGCAUCACAGGAAGCAGCUGAUGCAUAGUUUGUGUUGGAAGUAAGACAGACAGAAGGAUUAUGACUCGGUGGUAAAGAGGCCCUGGCCUGGUGGCUGUAUUCUGACCCAAAGGUGUUUUCUAGGCUUGCUGCUGUGACGGGCCAGGGAUAGCUAGUGCUUGCACAUACACACAUCACUACAUAAAACACAAAGGAGAUUCACACGUGACUUCUCUUUUGUCAGAGGGUGCUAAUUUUGCAGUGGUGUUGGCAUACUGCUGCCCCAGCAGUAUAAGGGCUAACUCCAUCUUUCUUCCACAGCAAUCAGUGCAAACAUGCCCUAGUCUUAAAGCAUGAUACUUUGGGAAUGAAAAGCUUAACUGCUUUCCUUGGCAUUUUUCUUUUUAUGUAGUAUAGAGUGCUUAGAGCUAUAGAAGCAGUGCAAGAAAAAUAUUAAUGAAUAACCAUGUAGCGCAGACAUUAAUGCAUUCCUUUCCCUUGAAACAACUGGCUUUUCUCUGUGGGCUCUGUAAAAGAAAAAUGUCUGCAGAGUCUGAAUCCAUUGUUUAGAAGCCAAAAUAGAUCUGAGAUUUAGAAAUUUCGCUGGCCUAUAUUGCUGAAAUGUUACCACUGCAUUUAUCAUGUGUCAAAAAAAAAAAAAAAAAAAGUCUUUUUUCUCUAUCUCUCUGCCAAAUGAUAACCAUGUAAUGGCAAGAUAAAUUUAAGGGAAGGGAUAGUUCUUGAGGUUCUGGCUUAUGAAUCUCUGGGUUAUGGAGAACAUGAAUGAAAAGUGAUUUCAAUCACUCCCCACUUGGGGCUCUACAGACUCUGAGGAGGAGAAAUUAGGGUUGCAUUAUCAUUUGGGGGAUCAGAUAUCAAGAAAUGUUUAAUAAGUUUUUAUACUAAAAUGUGUUGGUCAUUAAGCCGCUGUUGCUCACAAAUUUCCAUUAAUGAACAAUGUUCUGUAGUUUCAUGGCCUUUGACUCUUCCAUUUGCUACUAGGAAACAGACAAAUAGCUACAUAUUUCCCAGUAAUUUAGAAGUCCUGAUAAGCACUAGUUCAGCUGGCAACACUGUUCUGAAAGGGUGAACUCUGACGCUCUAAGUAGCUUUUCAGCUUUUGUUUUCCUGCAGUUAUGAACAGAGAAACACAUGAGCUGGAAUACUGUAACUAUACGCCUAGAUUUGAGUCACUGCUUUUCCAGGUCAGGGCUGAAAACUGCAGGUCAGGUCAAAAGCACUUCACAGCCUCCCUUGUAUGAACUGCUCACCGUUUAAAGGAACAAAAUGCAAGAGGAGGUCGAGGGAGAGGGAUCCCAGCACUGACCACCAGUGGGAAAGGGAACACACGCGCGAUGAAACAGCACGGGUAGGUCCCACAGAGGCAGGCCGCACAAACGUCCUCGCUGUGAAUACAGGUGAGAUGCAGGCAGUGUAGGAACCUGCUGAACAAAGGUACUGUUGGACCUUUCAUUAUUCAGUGUGUAAACCCCUGGCGAUUCCUCUUCCUUGCCUUGGUUAAAGACUACACCUUC